UUGAAGCUGCGUUAAGGUAAGCGACCGGACCCCGUUAGUUUUUGUAAGAUAAUUUAGGAAAAUAUUUUGAUUAUAUGAAAAUCUUAUUUUGUAGAAUUUAAAGUUAAGGGUUAAGCAUAUUAUUAAGUAUUUCUGUAAAUUGAUUUUCAACCGUGAUUGACAAGUCCUUUUAGCAAAAUAAACUUUUGAAAUUUGAUAAUCUGCUCUGUAAAUUAGUGACUCGAUACACUUUGA
rnacentral:lncRNA from 1 species